GGAGAAUCAAUCAUGGCUACUGCUUCAGUGGCGUUUAAGUCUAGGGAGGACCACAGGAAACAGUUGGAAUUAGAAGAAGCGCGAAAGGCUGGUCUUGCACCAGCAGAGUUGGAUGAGGAUGGAAAAGAAAUUAAUCCUCACAUUCCUCAGUAUAUGUCUUCAGCUCCUUGGUAUCUCAAUGCAGAGAGACCAAGUUUGAAACAUCAAAGGAAAUGGAAAUCUGAUCCAAAUUACACGAAAUCAUGGUAUGACAGAGGUGCA
rnacentral:misc_RNA from 1 species